AAGUCGUAACAAGGUUUCCGUAGGUGAACCUGCGGAAGGAUCAUUAAUGAUUUUAGCUAACCAUGGCUAUUUUAGCCAUGGUUAUGCGAAAUUUUGUAUUUAAAACCCCACUCUUUAUAAUAAAAAAUUUAUUAUAUUUAUGAUAAAAAUAAGAUCACUUUCAACAACGGAUCUCUUGGCUCUC
rnacentral:misc_RNA from 1 species